AGAGGAAUUACUUUUUUACUUAGAACUCGAUUCCUAAAAAAAUUAGUUUUAAUACCACACUAAAAAAAAUAAAUUUCGGCGUAAAGUAUUCCGACUUAAAAUAAUUUCAAGUUCAUCCAAGUGAUUACGUUAAGCAAUUGUUUCACUUGCAUACAUACACAUACAUAAUUACACUACGUUAAUAACAGAAAUGUUAAUAAAACACUCGAAAGCGCAAGUAAUAACACUUUUCACAACCUGUCCCUCACCUCAACCACUUUUUCUUAGUCCCUUCCUCAUUACACUUGCACAUUAUCAACACGCUUGCUUGCUUGGAAUGAAAGUAUAUAUGAAUGAUCAGCAUGCAGCCAACGCACCACGAAUUUUGCACAACAUUAAGCGCCUUAUAACUCACCAGCAAACACCGCAGACGUUCACCGCACAUACGUUGCGACUUUAAGCCCUCAUUUCUACUGCAUCCACUUUUUAUCUAAAUAUUUAUUGCUUGAAUUUCAGCACAUCAUAUCUUAAAUAACUAUUAAAAUCACGUCUGCUGCAAUGCACCAAUUAAUUUUGCACAUUUUUUGAUUUACUUUAACCUUUUUCAGUACUAACUAAACUCCAGCGUUGUCGUUUUGGUUUACACUUUCUUUGAAAUUCCAUUAUUAUUUUUUACUUUUUUCAUUCUUCAUAUUUUUUUUCCUUUUUUGGUCUCUACCAUUUAUGUUGUGAGCACAUCAUGAUUUACAUUUUGAAUUUCUGAAUUUCUGCACUUCUGCACCUGAACCGGCAUUUGCAUCUGUAUCAGCAUUGCGCAUUCGCGACGCGACGUCAUGGUGCGGCGCUCACCGCGCAGUUGUGUGUUUUGUCAACAUCCAACGCCUGAACGUCCGAUCCGCGCGCGACAGCCGUCGACAGUCAGCAGUCAGCCGUUAAUUCCUCCACCAUAAGUGGCUAUAUAGUCCAGUCAUUAUAUUAUGGAAUAAAAAUUGUCUUCCACCACUUUAGUUGUUAAAAGGUGACCAAUUAUAUCCGCAACCGUUUCAUUCCCAGAGCCGGUACGAAGAGCAUGGCGUAUGGAUGAAUUUUGAAAAAGUGGCGGUUUCAUCACAAACUUAACGAAAGGGAGCAAUUUGAAGUAAUUUACAGAAUAUGUACUGCUUCGAUCAUCAUGGCGCACAUGAACCAAAAUACAGGAGCUGUGGAAUUUUAAAGGCCUGGGCAGUGGUAAUAAGAUCGGUGUGCGAAAUUCGCAUAAGCAAAAUAUCUGUAUGCUGAAACCGAAAACAUACUGACAGGGAAACUGAUAAAGAAAGUAAUUGCUGAAUUCAGCUCUCUGCCAAUGAACUGGUCGCUCUAAAUUAUUUUAUUUAGCUCUUCGUUUAAACCCAUACUAAGAAUAUCAAGAGUUGUAGCGGAAUAAAUGAAAUAAAUAAAGUUAAA